GACGAACGCUGGCGGCGUGCUUAACACAUGCAAGUCGCGCGCGAAAGAGGCUUUCGGGUCUUGAGUAGAGCGGCGCACGGGUGCGUAAGACGCGGGUGACCUAUCCACGAGGUGGGGAUAACCCUUCGAAAGAGGGGCUAAUACCGGAUGAGCCCACAGGCAGAGAUGCUAGGGGGCAAAGGGUGCGAUUUACUAAGCGCAUCUCUUCGUGGCGGGGCCCACGGCCUAUCAGCUAGUUGGUGUGGUAACGGCACACCAAGGCGAAGACGGUAGCUGGCCUGAGAGGAUGGCCAGCCACACGGGGACUGAGACACGGCCCCGACUCCUACGGGAGGCAGCAGUGGGAAUAUUGGGCAAUGGGCGCAAAGCCUGACCCAGCGACGCCGCGUGGGUGAU
rnacentral:rRNA from 1 species